AUUCUAUGGUCAGAUGUCACGAGACACAUUUAUUGUAUCACCUGGAAGAGAUCAUUGCAGUCUGUCAUGGAAAUAUUUGUGAUUACUAAAAUUCAGUCAUAAUUCUCCGUAAUACUGGUCUGCAGAUUGUUGGGUGCCAGUGGAAAGGCAUUCCCUUCAGUUGUAGGUGACCGCCUGACAUCCCCCAUGGCGGGAUGCAGACUGGCGUGUUCUGGCUGUGUCGAGAUGGAGGUCUUAUCCUGCAUUCCCUCCUAGGGAUCUUCUGGAGGAAGGGAGGGCCACGGUCCCCUGCCUGGCAGAGAGACUCACCAUGGAGCUCAUCAUGCACAUCAGCAAAUCUCUGCCUUAUUUAGAAAAUCAAAUUAAGGAAAGUCACCAGAAAAUAACAGAGGAGUUGCAAAAGUAUGGCGUGGAUAUACCCGACGAUGAGAAUGAAAAAAUGUUCUUCCUGAUAG